rnacentral:snRNA from 1 species
UGCCGCAAGGCAAUCGGG